UAAUGCAUGCAAGUCGCACGGAGCUUCGGCUCAGUGGCGGACGGGUGAGUAACACGUAGGAAACCUGCCCCAGAAUGGGGGGAUAACUCCUCGAAAAGAGGGGGCUAAUACCGCAUACGGUCUACGGACCAAAGCAGCAAUGCGCUACUGGAGGGGCCUGCGGUGGAUUAGCUAGUUGGUGGGGUAAUGGCCUACCAAGGCGACGAUCCAUAGCUGGUCUGAGAGGACGGCCAGCCACACUGGGACUGAGACACGGCCCAGACUCC
rnacentral:rRNA from 1 species